CAGCCGCCACGGUAAUACGGAGGGAGCUAGCGUUGUUCGGAAUUACUGGGCGUAAAGCGCGCGUAGGCGGUUACUCGAGUCAGAGGUGAAAGCCCGGGGCUCAACCCCGGAACUGCCUUUGAAACUAGGUGACUAGAAUCUUGGAGAGGUCAGUGGAAUUCCGAGUGUAGAGGUGAAAUUCGUAGAUAUUCGGAAGAACACCAGUGGCGAAGGCGACUGACUGGACAAGUAUUGACGCUGAGGUGCGAAAGCGUGGGGAGCAAACAGGAUUAGAGACCCCAGUAGUCCCUGUCUCUUAUAC
rnacentral:rRNA from 1 species